AUUGAACGCUGGCGGCAUGCCUUACACAUGCAAGUCGAACGGUAACAGGUCUUCGGAUGCUGACGAGUGGCGAACGGGUGAGUAAUACAUCGGAACGUGCCCGAUCGUGGGGGAUAACGAGGCGAAAGCUUUGCUAAUACCGCAUACGAUCUACGGAUGAGAGCGGGGGAGCUUCGGACCUCGCGCGGACGGAGCGGCCGAUGGCAGAUUAGGUAGUUGGUGGGAUAAAAGCUUACCAAGCCGACGAUCUGUAGCUGGUCUGAGAGGAUGAUCAGCCACACUGGGACUGAGACACGGCCCAGACUCCUACGGGAGGCAGCAGUGGGGAAUUUUGGACAAUAGGCGAAAGCCUGAUCCAGCCAUGCCGCGUGCAGGAUGAAGGCCUUCGGGUUGUAAACUGCUUUUGUACGGAACGAAAAGCCUCUUUCUAAUAAAGAGGGGUCAUGACGGUACCGUAAGAAUAAGCACCGGCUAACUACGUG
rnacentral:rRNA from 1 species